GACGAACGCUGGCGGCGUGCUUAACACAUGCAAGUCGAACGAGACGAUUGAAAGCUUGCUUUCGAAAGUCGAGUGGCAAACGGGUGAGUAACGCGUAGACAACCUGCCUUUGAGAUGGGGACAACAGUUCGAAAGGACUGCUAAUACCGAAUGUUGUCUAUUUUCCACAUGGAAGAUAUAUUAAAGAUGGCCUCUAUUUAUAAGCUAUCGCUCAAAGAUGGGUCUGCGUCUGAUUAGCUGGUUGGUGGGGUAACGGCCUACCAAGGCGACGAUCAGUAGCCGGUCUGAGAGGCUGAGCGGCCACAUUGGGACUGAGACACGGCCCAGACUCCUACGGGAGGCAGCAGUGGGGAAUCUUCCACAAUGGACGAAAGUCUGAUGGAGCAACGCCGCGUGAGUGAAGAAGGGUUUCGGCUCGUAAAGCUCUGUUGUCGGGGACGAAUGUGCAGUAUUUGAAUAAAGUACUGCAAUGACGGUACCUGACGAGGAAGCCACGGCUAACUACGUGCCAGCAGCCGCGGUAA
rnacentral:rRNA from 1 species